GCGGAGGCUGCAGGCAAAAAUUCCACGGGGGGGCUCUCUCUUCAGCGAGCGGUCUGAGCAAAGUCAAUCACACUGAGCUUCCUAAUGAGCAAGAAAGAAGACAAGGAUCGUAUAAUCACAAAUAGUUUUCUUAAGUAGGCCAUUCCUACUUUUAAGCUUAGAAAAACACAAACCAGUCAUCAGCAGCAACAAGGUUUUGUGGGUGUGAUCACGCUCAGAGGGACCCGCGUGGCAAAGCACUGAAAAGUCUGACUCAUACAGUGUCCUCAUCCAUAAAGGAGAAGGACAUCCCAAAAGCAUUUUAUGCAUAUCUGGAUGUUAACAAACCUUGACGGAACAACUGUAAAUUUUGAAAUUGCCAAGGAAUGAACACUUCUGGCAUCGCGUAGAAACCACUGUGGCUGGCACUCAGCAGCAUUCAGUGUUUGCCAAGGCCUGGGGAAGCAUCUGAGUUCAUGUAUUCUACUCCACCCCAUCUUCAAGAAGGAUACCGGUUACUAAGAGUAAUUCCCUAACCAACAGAGAAAGGCUCUUUACUUUAUGAGAAAUAAAGGAUGUUGGGUUAGACAAAAGGGACUCCCCCCCCAAUGAUGUGAAGAAACUAUAGAUGCAUGAAAAGAAUAAAGUGUUGUUGAGAAAAAAAGAAAAGUGAAGGAUGAGCUCAGAGGAGCCCCCAGGAGAAGGGAAACAGCCUCCGAGCAGAUCCCAACACUUUGUUUUCUGUGAACCUUGUUUGGAGCCUUGGUGCAGGACAUCCUUCUGUUUUGAAACAUGCUUUACUCUAGGUUCACCUGUGGGAAUCCCUGCUAAUCUCAAGCUAUUUCUGAAGACGCCCGUGCCUGCAAAACAAAGUCCCAUUUUUGUCACAGAAAUGCGAAGCUGCACUUAGAGCCAGUGCCGGGGCAAGGGGGCCUCCACACUGCAAACACCCAAACGCCAAGGCAUUUGCUUUUAUUCUUUUUGGUCUUCUGAGGGUUGUUUUCCCUCCUGUGAAAGUUCCACAGCAGAAUGAAUAAAAGGGACAAGUGUGCUGACACAGCCUCCUCUUCUCCCACAGAGCUGUUUACACUUUGCCCUGAGGAUGAAGUGGAGGAAAGAACAGCCUACCUGGGGAAGCCAGGCACCCUGAUACUUUUCAACUGGAGGCCAGGCUGCCUAGAUAAUAGUGUUCCGUCCUGCCCCUUGGCUCAGAAGUCUUGGUGGCAUCUGAGUUGAAAAAGAAGUGCAUGAAGGAAGCAUGCAGCUGUCCCAGACCCUUGAGCACCUCAUCUUCAUCUGUCCCACCCAGGGUUCAGGCAGGUACAGUCCUCCCUCAGGAGCCUUGUCUCUAGCUGAUGCUGCACUCGUCCCAGCACAAACAUGGCACUUUUAGUGCUGGAACCUGUGGGGAUGAGCCUAGAUUUUUUUAGUUCAGUCCUGACAGAACUAUAAUUUCAAAACCUCAUUUAUCUCAGCAUAUGGUAUUCGACCUUCAUCUACCCAGGGCAAGCUUGAUGAUCGGAAUUACUAGCUGAGUCUUUUAUUUUUUUUUAUUU